AUACGGAGGAUCCGAGCGUUAUCCGGAUUUAUUGGGUUUAAAGGGUGCGCAGGCGGGAGAUUAAGUCGGCGGUGAAAUUUUGCAGCUCAACUGUAAAAGUGCCUUCGAAACUGGUUUCCUUGAGUGUAGAUGAAGGCGGCGGAAUUUGUGGUGUAGCGGUGAAAUGCAUAGAUAUUCCGAGGAACUCCGAUUGCGCAGGGAGCCUACGAAACUCCUACUGACGCUCAGGCACGAAGGCGUGGGGAUCAAACAGGAUUAGAACCCCUGGUAGUCCACGCAGUAAACGAUGAUUACUAGCAGUUUGCGGUACAAUGUAAGUGGAGGAGCGAAAGCGGUAAGUAAUCCACCUGGGGAGUACGUUCGCAAGAAUGAAACUUAAAGGAAUUGACGGGG
rnacentral:rRNA from 1 species